rnacentral:rRNA from 1 species
UACGGGGGGGGCAAGCGUUGUUCGGAAUUACUGGGCGUAAAGGGCUCGUAGGCGGCCAACUAAGUCAGACGUGAAAUCCCUCGGCUUAACCGGGGAACUGCGUUUGAUACUGGUUGGCUUGAAUCCGGGAGAGGGAUGUGGAAUUCCAGGUGUAGCGGUGAAAUGCGUAGAUAUUCGGAAGAACACCAGUGGCGAAGGCGACUCACUGGCCCGAUACUGACGCUGAGGCGCGAAAGCGUGGGGAGCAAACAGG